UACGUAGGGGGCAAGCGUUGUCCGGAAUCAUUGGGCGUAAAGAGCGUGUAGGCGGCUCGAUAAGUCUGCUGUGAAAGUCCAGGGCUCAACCCUGGAAGGCCGGUGGAAACUGUCGGGCUAGAGUCCGGAAGAGGCGAGUGGAAUUCCCGGUGUAGCGGUGAAAUGCGCAGAUAUCGGGAGGAACACCAAUGGCGAAGGCAGCUCGCUGGGACGUGACUGACGCUGAGACGCGAAAGCGUGGGGAGCAAACAGG
rnacentral:rRNA from 1 species